rnacentral:rRNA from 1 species
GUGAGUAGUUCAGAGUUUGAUCCUGGCUCAGGAUGAACGCUGGCGGCAUGCCUAACACAUGCAAGUCGAACGGAGUUAUUUUGAUUGAUUUCUUCGGAAUGAUUUUAAUUUAACUUAGUGGCGACGGGUGAGUAACGCGUGAGUAACCUGCCUCUCAGAGGGGAUAACGUUCUGAAAAGAACGCUAAUACCGCAUAACAUUCACGGACCGCAUGAUCUGUGAAUCAAAGCUUUAUGUGCUGGAAGAUGGCCUCGCGUCUGAUUAGCUAGUUGGUGGGGUAACGGCCCACCAAGGCGACGAUCAGUAGCCGGUCUGAGAGGAUGAACGGCCACAUUGGGACUGAGAUACGGCCCAG